GAUGAAGAACGCAGCGAAAUGCGAUAAGUAGUGUGAAUUGCAGAAUUCAGUGAAUCAUCGAAUCUUUGAACGCACAUUGCGCCCUUUGGUAUCCCUUAGGGCAUGCCUGUUCGAGCGUCAUUUAAACCUUCAAGCUAAGCUUGGUGUUGGGUGACUGUCCGCUUCACUGCGGACUCGCCUCAAAAUUAUUGGCGGCCGGUACAUUGGCUUCGAGCGCAGCAGAAACGCGAACUCGGGCCCGUCGUAUUGGCUCCCAGAAGCUAUCUUCACAAUUUUGACCUCGGAUCAGGUAGGGAUACCCGCUGAACUUAAGCAUAUCAAUAAGCGGAGGA
rnacentral:misc_RNA from 1 species